rnacentral:misc_RNA from 1 species
CAGUUGCUCCACCACACAGCCAACUGUCGAAAGGAAAAAAAUGGGGAGUUAAAGAAACAAGGAAUUAUGUCGAUGGAAGACAUUAACAUCAAAAUAGGGCAGAUGUAGUGGAAAUCAUUCAUUUUAAGUAAAAUGAAUCCCAAGAGUAAUUAGCAGUAAACCAUAUGAAGUCAAAGCCAACUAUCUCUGUAAAUAAAUCAACAGCCAACAUCAAGUCAGACUCUUGCUGGUAAGGGGUUCUACAAGUAUAGGGCAUUAUUAAUGAAAAAAACGCAUCUAUGCACAGCAUAGAAACCGUUUUCUUUUCAGAAGUGAACAGCAACGUACCAAUGCAUUGAAUCCUUCAUUUUUUUGGGAGGGGAUUAAAUAUCCAUCAAAUGUAAAAGGGGAAAGCAAUGCUCACCAAAACGAUUGACCACAUAUACAG